CAACGACUGAUCUUAAGCAUAUCAAUAAGCGGAGGAAAAGAGACUGACAAGGAUUCCCCUAGUACGCGCGAGUGAAGCGUGAACAGCUCAAAUUCGAAGCCCGGCGUCCGUAGGGCGUGCGGAUUGUAUUCUAGAGAAGCGUCUUCCACGCUGGUCCACGUAUACAGUGCUCUGAAACGGGCUGUGAUAGAGGGUGAGAAUCCCGUCCUUGACGUGGGCGUAGCGCAGUGUUUUUGUGAUGCGCUUUCUAAGAGUACGAGUUGUUUGGGAAUCGCAUGUCUCAAAGUGGGUGGUAAAUUCCAUCUAAAGCUAAAUAUUGGCCUGAGCCCGAUAGCGAUCAAGUACCGUGAGGGAAAGAUGAAAAGCCCUUUGAAAAGAGAGUCAAACAGUACGUGAAAUUGCUGAAAGGGAAACGCUUGGAGUCAGUCGCGCCACCUGGAAUUCAACCCUGCUUUUGUAGGGUGUACUUUCCAGGAGGCGGGCCAACAUCAGAUUUUGAGCGGCAGAUAAAGGCUGGGGGAAUGUGGCUCCUUCGGGAGUGUUAUAGCCCCCGGUCACAUAGGCCGGUUGGGUAUUGAGGAACGCAGCGCGCCCUUGUGGCAGGCCUUCGGGCACUUUCGCGCUUAGGAUGUUGGCAUAAUGGCUUUAAGCGACCCGUCGUGAAACACGG
rnacentral:rRNA from 1 species